AAGCGCGGCGCGAGGAACGGUUUGUAAUCGUUAAAGCCGCCGCGGGGCUGGAACGGGGAGCGGCGCGGGCUGAGCUGGCUGAAAACAGUCGGUUCUGCUAGGAGAGUAAAAGCGGAGGUACCGCUCGGAACUCCCAAGAAUUCGUCUUUGUUUCCAUACGUGCUGCGCUUGGAAGACGAUUAAAGCGCUGGGUUAAGUCAGGGUGAAUAGCGCUUCCAGCACCAAAAGCACCACCGCGAUGCCUCCCUAGCUGGUGUGCGGCGUUACUGCGUGUUGCCGAGCAGCUAUCCUGCGUGUCCCGAGACAGAGCGUUGGAGAAAACGUAGAGACAGUGCAGUUCCCUUCGUAGUAAGAAUGCCCUCGGUGUCUGCCGUCCUUCCAGCGUCUGUUGGAUCGUUCUCAUUUAAACACGUAGAACUCUUUAUCUAGACACAAUAAUUUGUAUUUCACUUCCGCGUUUGGUUUGUGUAAAGUAAAAUUUAAUGGUUUACGUAAGAUAAGA